UCAAACUUUUUAAAAUGAGAGUUUGAUCCUGGCUCAGGACGAACGCUGGCGGCGUGCCUAAUACAUGCAAGUCGAGCGAGCGGAACUAACAGAUUUACUUCGGUAAUGACGUUAGGAAAGCGAGCGGCGGAUGGGUGAGUAACACGUGGGGAACCUGCCCCAUAGUCUGGGAUACCACUUGGAAACAGGUGCUAAUACCGGAUAAGAAAGCAGAUCGCAUGAUCAGCUUUUAAAAGGCGGCGUAAGCUGUCGCUAUGGGAUGGCCCCGCGGUGCAUUAGCUAGUUGGUAAGGUAAAGGCUUACCAAGGCGAUGAUGCAUAGCCGAGUUGAGAGACUGAUCGGCCACAUUGGGACUGAGACACGGCCCAAACUCCUACGGGAGGCAGCAGUAGGGAAUCUUCCACAAUGGACGCAAGUCUGAUGGAGCAACGCCGCGUGAGUGAAGAAGGUUUUCGGAUCGUAAAGCUCUGUUGUUGGUGAAGAAGGAUAGAGGUAGUAACUGGCCUUUAUUUGACGGUAAUCAACCAGAAAGUCACGGCUAACUACGUGCCAGCAGCCGCGGUAAUACGUAGGUGGCAAGCGUUGUCCGGAUUUAUUGGGCGUAAAGCGAGCGCAGGCGGAAGAAUAAGUCUGAUGUGAAAGCCCUCGGCUUAACCGAGGAACUGCAUCGGAAACUGUUUUUCUUGAGUGCAGAAGAGGAGAGUGGAACUCCAUGUGUAGCGGUGGAAUGCGUAGAUAUAUGGAAGAACACCAGUGGCGAAGGCGGCUCUCUGGUCUGCAACUGACGCUGAGGCUCGAAAGCAUGGGUAGCGAACAGGAUUAGAUACCCUGGUAGUCCAUGCCGUAAACGAUGAGUGCUAAGUGUUGGGAGGUUUCCGCCUCUCAGUGCUGCAGCUAACGCAUUAAGCACUCCGCCUGGGGAGUACGACCGCAAGGUUGAAACUCAAAGGAAUUGACGGGGGCCCGCACAAGCGGUGGAGCAUGUGGUUUAAUUCGAAGCAACGCGAAGAACCUUACCAGGUCUUGACAUCUAGUGCCAUUUGUAGAGAUACAAAGUUCCCUUCGGGGACGCUAAGACAGGUGGUGCAUGGCUGUCGUCAGCUCGUGUCGUGAGAUGUUGGGUUAAGUCCCGCAACGAGCGCAACCCUUGUUAUUAGUUGCCAGCAUUAAGUUGGGCACUCUAAUGAGACUGCCGGUGACAAACCGGAGGAAGGUGGGGAUGACGUCAAGUCAUCAUGCCCCUUAUGACCUGGGCUACACACGUGCUACAAUGGGCAGUACAACGAGAAGCGAGCCUGCGAAGGCAAGCGAAUCUCUGAAAGCUGUUCUCAGUUCGGACUGCAGUCUGCAACUCGACUGCACGAAGCUGGAAUCGCUAGUAAUCGCGGAUCAGCACGCCGCGGUGAAUACGUUCCCGGGCCUUGUACACACCGCCCGUCACACCAUGGGAGUCUGCAAUGCCCAAAGCCGGUGGCCUAACCUUCGGGAAGGAGCCGUCUAAGGCAGGGCAGAUGACUGGGGUGAAGUCGUAACAAGGUAGCCGUAGGAGAACCUGCGGCUGGAUCACCUCCUUUCUA
rnacentral:rRNA from 1 species